rnacentral:rRNA from 1 species
CCCAAGGGUAUGGCUGUUCGCCAUUUAAAGUGGUACGCGAGCUGGGUUUAGAACGUCGUGAGACAGUUCGGUCCCUAUCUGCCGUGGGCGCUGGAGAAUUGAGGGGGGCUGCUCCUAGUACGAGAGGACCGGAGUGGACGCAUCACUGGUGUUCGGGUUGUCAUGCCAAUGGCACUGCCCGGUAGCUAAAUGCGGAAGAGAUAAGUGCUGAAAGCAUCUAAGCACGAAACUUGCCCCGAGAUGAGUUCUCCCUGAGACUUUAAGUCUCCUGAAGGAACGUUGAAGACGACGACGUUGAUAGGCCGGGUGUGUAAGCGCAGCGAUGCGUUGAGCUAACCGGUACUAAUGAACCGUGAGGCUUAACCUUACAACGCCGAAG